ensembl:lncRNA novel transcript, antisense to ARAF
ACUCCUCCGGUUCCGGGCAGGGAACGCCGGGGCCCAGGCGCAGCCAUCCUGGAGCUGAGCUUUCGGUCCGGGCUCCCUGCCCGUGCCCGGCAGCCGCUCCAGAAACCGAGCCCUCCCGGGCCCGCCCUCACCUGUCACGCCGCUACAGCCGCCGCCGUCUCCAUCUUGGGCCUCUCUUCUUGUUUCCUCACAGAGUCCGCCUCCGUCGCCUCUCGGACUCUCGUUAUUGGCUCUGCGGGACUCAGCCUUCCACCCUUAUUGGGUCAGGGUCACGUCUGUCAAGGCAAGACCAACGGAAUGCAGUAUUUGAAGACAGACCUCUGGCUCCAUCGUUCAACGUUUACAAAAAGAUGAGAAAAAUGCCAGCAAAAGCUCAUUGCUUUUGCAGGAUGGGGGAAGGAGGGGAAGGGUAGGGGACAUAGCCCACUCAAAGGCAAUGCUUUCUCCCCCAAGGACUCAUAGACUCACUUCACACCCAUCUCAACUGGCACUUCAGCCAAGUACCUUACAGGUACCUGACACUUUAAAGCAUGAAGUCCUUUAAAGUGAUUUAGGUUUGGUUUUCUUUUGUUUUGCGACAGAGUCUCGCUCUGUCACCCAGGCUGGAGUGCAGUGGUGCAAUCACAGCUCACUGCGGCCUCGACCUCCUGGGCUCAAGCCAUCUUCCCAGAAAGCUGGGACCACAGACGCAUGUCACAGCGCCUGGCCUUUUUGACUUUUUGUCAUUAUCAUCACCACCAUAUUUAAACCAUUAGAAGUACCAUGUAUUAAGACAAAAAUUAAAACCCAAACUAGUUGAUUAUAGUUUUCUGACAUCCCCCUUGUAAUUAUCCAUCUGGAAAAAAAUGUAAAGUUAUCAAAGUACUUGUUGGUUUUUAUUGUUGUUCAUUUUAAAGUCUCAGAAAUAUGUCUGAAAAUUUUUUAAAAUCUGAAGUGUUCACCGACUGCCGUUGUAAUGCUACUUUUAUAGCUGAGGACAUUAAGGUUCAGGCUGCCCUAACCAGAGGGGAAAAGGAGAGAGUGCUCCAGGACUUCGUUUGAUAAAAAGUGUUUAACAAGGGUGCGGGCCAUGGGCACCUCCUUAAGGAAUCCCAGAUCCACCCAGCAGUCCUGCGUGCCUGGGGACCUCCUCUAAAACGUGCGACUCUCAUUUUCCAAAGCCGCCGACCUCACCGGCCCCUGCUGCGGCCUGGAGAGCGCCAUCUCUGGGACCCCCUCCCACCGCCGUCCUCUCAGCUGUUCAUUUCGGGGGAGUUGACCGUGCAUGCACAUUUCUCUGAGACCGGGAACACAGGUUUGACUCAGGCCCCUCAACCACCAGCUCCUCUCUGCCAACCCAGGGAGCCUCUCUCCGCAACAGGCCCCCCCCAACAGGCAGCGAGAUCUGCCAAUAGCAGUGCAGUAGAAGGCGGGCCUUGGGAUACCCUGGGCAUUGAUAGGCUCUACUUCACCACGGAGCCACUGACAGACCAAUAGCUAUGCACAGGAGGUGGCCAAUGGGAGGUGUGUGGGCCUGAGACCGGCUACAAACAAGGAACUUAAUGUUGCUUUUAAAUCAGUGAUGAGGCAACAGUAAUUGUUCCAUCGAAAUCCUUAAUAAAAGUAGAGUGUGGAAGUUUCCACUUCUGUACAUUCCUAGAAGGGAUUUUUAAUAUACAACCCUGGGGGGAGAGGUGUAGGAAAUUUACAAGUAAGUGAAUUUAACCAUGACUUUUUAACUGUUCUUAUUAAAAAGUCUUUCUUAGCAAAA